rnacentral:rRNA from 1 species
UACGUAGGGUGCGAGCGUUAAUCGGAAUUACUGGGCGUAAAGCGUGCGCAGGCGGUUUUGUAAGCCAGAUGUGAAAUCCCCGGGCUUAACCUGGGAAUGGCAUUUGGGACUGCAAGGCUCGAGUGCGGCAGAGGAGACUGGAAUUCCUGGUGUAGCAGUGAAAUGCGUAGAUAUCAGGAGGAAUACCGAUGGCGAAGGCAGGU